rnacentral:rRNA from 1 species
CGGACGGGUGAGUAACGCGUGGAUAACCUGCCGUAUACCGGGGGAUAACACUUAGAAAUAGGUGCUAAUACCGCAUGAGCGCACAGCUCCGCAUGGAGCGGUGUGAAAAACUCCGGUGGUAUACGAUGGAUCCGCGUCUGAUUAGCCAGUUGGCGGGGUAACGGCCCACCAAAGCGACGAUCAGUAGCCGGCCUGAGAGGGUGAACGGCCACAUUGGGACUGAGACACGGCCCAGACUCCUACGGAAGGCAGCAG